AACGGGAACCGGCGCCCGGAAUGUCAGCGUGUGAAGUAGGCGCUGGCAACGCGGGGUUACCCGCUGUUAUUGAGGAGUAACGGCCCAGCGGACCACCCAGGCUUGAGGCAGCGGCGGGAACCACUCGGUUUGCUGCGAUACCAUGGAAGGAGGCGGGGGAAGCGGCGACAAAACCACAGGGGUAUUGGCCGGCUUUUUCGGAGCCGGCGAAGCAGGUUACUCGCACGCGGAUUUGGCUGGCGUCCCGCGAUACAGAUGAGUUCAUUUUACCUACCGGAGCUAAUAAAACCUGGGGCAGAUUUGAGCUGGCCUUCUUUACGAUUGGAGGGUGUUGCAUGACAGGGGCUGCGUUUGGGGCAAUGAAUGGUCUUCGGCUAGGAUUGAAGGAAACCCAGAACAUGGCCUGGUCCAAACCAGGAAAUGUACAGAUUUUGAAUAUGGUGACUAGGCAAGGGGCACUUUGGGCUAAUACUCUAGGUUCUCUGGCGUUGCUCUAUAGUGCAUUUGGUGUCAUCAUUGAGAAAACACGAGGUGCAGAAGAUGACCUUAACACAGUAGCAGCUGGAACCAUGACAGGCAUGUUGUAUAAAUGUACAGCCUCGGCCUCCCGAGGUGCCGGGAUUGCAGAUGGAGUCUCGUUCACUCAGUGCUCAAUGUUGCCCAGGCUGGAGUGCAGUGGCGUGAUCUCGGCUAGCUACAACCUCCACCUCCCAGCCGCCUGCCUUGGCCUCCCAAAGUGCCGAGAUUGCAGCCUCUGCCCGGCUGCCACCCCGUCUGGGAAGUGAGGAGCGUCUCUGCCUGGCCGCCCAUCGUCUGGGAUGUGAGGAGCCCCUCUGCCCGGGCUGCCCAGUCUGGGAAGUGAGGAGCGCCUUUUCCCGGCUGCCAUCCCGUCUAGGAAGUGAGGAGCGUCUCGGCCCGGCCACCCAUCGUCUGAGAUGAGGGGAGCGCCUCUGCCCCGCCGCCCCGUCUGGGAUGUGAGGAGCGCCUCUGCCUGGCCGCGACCCCGUCUGGGAGUGUCAGAGAUGGCUUUGGAUUCCCCGUUCUGUGUGCUGCUGUCUGGCUCCUGAACCCAGCUGUAGAGGUGUGUGUCAAUCCCAACUGGUGAAGUACUGAGAAGAAGCUACACAAAAGGCAGCAAAGUAUUAGUAAGUGUACCUCUGACAUUUUAACCACCUCUGACUUUUCCAUGGAAUGGACAAGUAGUAGUCUCUGUCAGAGCUACAUUUUAAAGGAGAAAAAGAAACGUGAAGUCAUGAACUGUUUAUUUAUGCUGUUAUUUUUGUGUUUACUCACCUCAUUUAUAUUGACUUGUAAAUUAGUAAUUUCUGAACUAUUAUUUAUCAAUUCAUUGCCUACAUGUCAGCAAACAAAUUUUCUUCUUAAUAAAGAAUCCAGUUGCUGGGCACAAUGGUUCACACCUGUAAUCUCAGCACGUUUGGAGGGCAAGGCAGGAGGAUUCCUUGGGGCUAGGAGUUCAAGACCAGCCUGGGCAAUAUAGCAAGAUUUCAUCUCUACAAAAAAAUGAAAACAUUGGCUGGGCAUGGUGGCUCAUUCCUAUAGUUCAGGCUACUGAGGAGCCUGAUGUAGGAGGAUCACGUGACCCCAGUAGUUUGAGGCUGCAGUGAGCUAUGAUCCUAACACUGCUCUCCAGCCUGGGUGACACACCAAGUUGCCAUCUCUUCAAAAAAGGAAUCUAGAGACAUCAGUGUGUGCACAAGCAUGGUUUGUGAAUUUGGAAGUGUGUAUGUGCAUAGUUGUGCUCAAGAAUGUGUUGAUGAUUAUACCUUCUCAGAAUGAAGGUAAUUUUUUUUUUUUCUUUUUUUUUGAGAUGGAGUCUUGCUCUGUUGCCAGGCUGGAGUGCAGUGGUGCUCUCAGCUCACUGCAACCUCUGCCUCCCGGCUUCAAGCAGUUCUCCUGCCUCAGCCUCCCAAGUAGCUGGGACUACAGGCACACACCACCACUCCCGGCUAAUUUUUUGUGUUUUAGUAGAGACGGGGUUUUACCAUGUUGGCCAGGAUGGUCUCGAUCCCCCGACCUUGUGAUCCACCCACCUUGGCCUCCCAAAGUGUUGGGAUUACAGGUGUGAGCCACCGUGCCUGGCCUGAAGGUCAUUUUUAUAAAGAUCUCUCCACGUCUUAGAUUUGAUUCUUCCUUUAAAUAUUUUUCUCAUUGACAUUUGAAAGCACCUGACCUUAUAUAAAAUGAACAAUUUUCAUAACUCCAUAAAAGGAGAAUUAUGGCAUCAUCUAUUUCUUUCUCUUGUCUCAUAAAUCUAAACCAUCAACCUGCUUAUUUUUGUAUACUGUCACACUGUGUAUUCCCUGCAUUGAAUGCCUGUCUGUUGACAUUAUCUGUAAAAAUUGUGGGAAGUUUUCUGCACCCUGAAAUUUCUGUUAUGCGGAUUAAAUAUCCACUAUCCAUGUUUUUCCAAGUCUUACAGUAGAAAGGGUAAAUGCAGCCCUCACAGCAGCCUGUUGUUCGUCCUGCAAAUGUGUUUCCAUCACAUUACACAAAGCCUCUUUGUCUUCGUGGUUCUACCCUACUAAUAAGUUUUUUAAAAAAUUAUGUAAUGUGUGUAUAUACAAAUACCUAUAUGUAUGUGUGUACACAUACAGCUGAUAUCUGCUGAGAUUAUGUAUGCAUGAACUAUAGAAUUAACUUGUAAUUUUAAGAAAAUAAAUUAUUUUGUAAAGAUAAAUCUCAUGUUUAAGAAGAGGAAUUACAGUUGAAUCAUUUAGGGAUGCCUCAGCCUAAACAUAAUAUGGAAAAAGCCAUAACCAAAAGUCAUUUUAGAGUACUGCUAGGUUACUCAACCUAUCAUCACAUUUAAUUAAAAUGUCAGUUUGAACCAUG